UCUAACAAGGGGAACGUAGAAGAAGUGUUCAGCAGAUUUGCAAUAUGCAAAGCACGAGAAGCGACAAAAGCAUUGUCAUGGUAUGGCAAUGGAAGGAGGUGAACAACGAGCGAAGUGCGAGAACCAUAGUAACGAAGGGCUUGUUUGAGAGGAGGCCAUGAGUCUCUGCUAUCGGGGCAGACAGGAUCAUAGAAGGCCUCAAUCAG
rnacentral:misc_RNA from 1 species